rnacentral:rRNA from 1 species
GAUGAACGCUGGCUACAGGCUUAACACAUGCAAGUCGAGGGGAAACGGCAUUGAGUGCUUGCACUGAAUGGACGUCGACCGGCGCACGGGUGAGUAACGCGUAUCCAACCUUCCCGUUACUGCGGGAUAACCUGCCGAAAGGCAGACUAAUACCGCAUGUUCUUCGAUGACGGCAUCAGAUUCGAAGCAAAGAUCCGUCGGUAACGGAGGGGGAUGCGUCUGAUUAGCUAGUUGGCGGGGCGACGGCCCACCAAGGCGACGAUCAGUAGGGGUUCUGAGAGGAAGGUCCCCCACAUUGGAACUGAGACACGGUCCAAACUCCUACGGGAGGCAGCAGUGAGGAAUAUUGGUCAAUGGGCGGAAGCCUGAACCAGCCAAGUAGCGUGCAGGAUGACGUCCCUACGGGUUGUAAACUGCUUUUAUGCGGGGAUAAAGUGAGGGACGCGUCCCUUUUUGCAGGUACCGCAUGAAUAAGGACCGGCUAAUUCCGUG